CUAUUCUUGUGAAAUUCUGCAAGUAACACAGAGUUCAUCUUCAUUUCAAAUCGAGGUAUGUGGCAAUGGAAUCCCAAUAGUAAUACUACUUAGUUAGGUAGAACAAAUUUAUGUGUUGUGUCACUUUCAGUGUGUGUGCUAUAUAGUAUAUAUAUCAUCAAAUCAAAGCAAAUGGAUCAAAUUCCAAUUGAGAUCACAACACAUAUACUUUCUAGGCUUCCAGUUAAGUAUGUAUUCAGAUGUAGGUCUGUGUGUAAAGCAUGGUUAAAUAUUAUAGAUGAUCGUAGUAGAUUUGCUCCCUUGCACUUCACUAGAUCACUUGAAGAAGAACAAACAACUCAUCAUAACAAAUCAACUUUAAUCUUUGCGUCUACUGGUAGUCGCCGUCCAAUUUAUCUUGUAGAAAUAAAUCAAGGAUCACAGAACAUUUUUAAGACUUCACAAAUGGAUUUUUGUGGUCCAGACUACAACACAAUAUACGCAAAUUCUUGCCAUGGAUUAUUAUGUUUCUCUUCCACACCAGGCAACAUGGAUGAUAAUGGUUAUUACACAUACAUUCAUAAUCCUGCCACACAUGAAUUUUUCAAGCUGCCAGCUUCUCUUCCCUCUAAUGAGUAUGAGGAGGAUGUUCAUCUCGUAGACCUAGUACCUCGUCCAUGUGUGCAUAAUCUAGGAUUUGGUUAUGACCAUUCAAGUAAUGCUUUCAAGGUCUUGCAAAUUCUAUAUGUGUAUUGGGGCCUUCGUUUUGCCGAACCAGUAAUAGCUCAAGUCUGCACUUUAGGCUCUAAUUCAUGGAGAAAAUUACAGAAUUUUCCUCGUGUGUCCUGCUUUGGAGGUACACCUGCAUUAAUCAAUGGGUCGUUGCACUGGCUGAGUUAUGAGCAUAUAUUGUCAUUUGAUCUAGCGGCUGAAAAUUUUGGGUCAGUUGAAUAUCCCCAUAUUAAUUUUGUACCAACUGCUCAGUUUGGAUUUUACCCCGAAAAUAAUUUCCAACUUGUGGUUUUAGAUGGGUGUCUUUCUAUAGCUGAUUCCUCUUCUGAUGAGGAUGUUGAAUUAUGGAUUAUGAAAGAUUACAAUAUCAAGGAAUCAUGGAUCAAACUUGUUAUCAGGAGAAGAUAUGUCCAAGAUGGAGUGUUAUUCCAAAGUGUUCUUCCUAUUUGUUUUUGGAAACAUGGUGAACUUUUACUGCUUUACGGUUCAAAAAUAUUGGUUUCUUAUGGUAUCCAAAGUGAAAGAUAUACUCCGUAUGAAGUUGAAGGCCUUCCAGUGUUCGGAUUUGAUUGUUUCAAAGGUUUUCGUGGAUAUGAAGUUUAUCCAUAUGUUGGAAAUCUCAUGUCAGUCGACACAAUCCGUGGAACUGAAGUGCAACCAUGACGAAGGAAGGAAUUCUUGUGAGAAUCCUGUAAGUUUCUUUUUUUUUACUUAUUAUCAGAAAAAUGACUAUACAUUAUUGAGAAUUGUAAUAAAACCAAAGGUUCGCCAUUGUGACGUCAAGUUUGUUAGAAACAAAAGUAAACCAGACCUGUGACCGAUAUCAGAACCAAAUGAUUUGCUAUAGUUUCGGUAACUAGUAAUUAUAUAAUGUAAAAAAACUAUUAAAAUCAAUGUAAAUGUCAAACUGGAAUAGAUACAGUAGAUACCAAAACAUGGAUAAAAACUAAAACAGCUAUGAAUAUUGACUGAACAAACUGCAAAGUAAUCUGAACCCUCAUCCCAGCCAGACUCUCAAUGUCUGGUUAUCAAAUCCAGAGAACAUUCUCCAACUUCUGACACAUUUAUAUCUUGUUGUUCAGUGUAAUUGCACCGCGAACAAUACUUGAUCUGGGAUCGUGUGGCUGGCCUGACUUAGCUUGAAGAUCUUGUAAAGGUGUCUUAUAGUGUAUUGCUCUGCUUGGCAAGAAGUAUAGGUUCAGAUAAGACAUUGAGUAAGAACUGGAAAUCUGUUUCAUCUCAAUCUCGGAUAUAUUAUAUAGGAGUAUCGAAGUGCCUCUUUCACAAAAGAGAGUUGGAAGCUCCUUAGUAUUUGGAAGUCAUGUUCUUAUGUUCAGACUUUAUACAAGUAUGUACUGUUUUACUCAUAUUACCGGCAGUUUCUGUUGGAAAUAUACAGAUUGUGAACUUCAUCCUACUAUUAAGAAUAUUACUAUGUUGUUUGUUUAGUUCUGUUAACUCUCUUCUUAUGACAAAAACUUAGAAGAAUGAUAACGAAUCAUGUGUUUAAAUCUUGAAAAUUAUAUUUCUUUAGACAAAAAGAACCAUCAUACUGGUUUUGGUUAUGGUUAAAUACUUAAAUGGAUGACCAUUAAUUGAUUUAACUGGUCAGGUGCAGAAAUAUAAAUUCAUUAAUCA
rnacentral:lncRNA from 1 species